rnacentral:tRNA from 1 species
AAGUAAUGAAGUAAAAUUUACAUUUAGUUUCGACCUAAAAUUAGAGUAACAACUCCUUACUUA